AAACAGGGAACCCUAUCUGGGUUGGUGCUCCCUCUGGCAGGCCUGUUAAUUAAAAAAGUGCAGGGAUGUAAUUCCCCCACAUUUCUGUAGGACUCAAGCCCUGUCUUCAUCUUAAUUAAGUUGUUCUUAGGUCUGGAUAUCCUCAGGUGCCAUCUUUGCAGGGAUACGCUAAGCACCAAUACAACAUUAGUAUAAUGAAGCAGUUUUGCUUUAUAG